UACAGAGGUCUCAAGCGUUGUUCGGAUUCAUUGGGCGUAAAGGGUGCGUAGGUGGCGCCGUAAGUGGGGUGUGAAAUUUCGGAGCUUAACUCCGAAACUGCAUUCCAUACUGCGGUGCUUGAGGACUGGAGAGGAGACUGGAAUUCAUGGUGUAGCAGUGAAAUGCGUAGAUAUCUGGAGGAACACCGGUGGCGAAGGCGGCAUCCUGGACCAACACUGACGCUGAGGAGCGAAAGCCAGGGGAGCAAACGGG
rnacentral:rRNA from 1 species